rnacentral:rRNA from 1 species
GAUGAACGCUGGCGGCGUGCCUAAUACAUGCAAGUCGAGCGAACAGUCGAGGAGCUUGCUCCUCUGACGUUAGCGGCGGACGGGUGAGUAACACGUGGAUAACCUACCUAUAAGACUGGGAUAACUUCGGGAAACCGGAGCUAAUACCGGAUAAUAUAUUGAACCGCAUGGUUCAAUAGUGAAAGACGGUUUUGCUGUCACUUAUAGAUGGAUCCGCGCCGCAUUAGCUAGUUGGUAAGGUAACGGCUUACCAAGGCAACGAUGCGUAGCCGACCUGAGAGGGUGAUCGGCCACACUGGAACUGAGACACGGUCCAGACUCCUACGGGAGGCAGCAGUAGGGAAUCUUCCGCAAUGGGCGAAAGCCUGACGGAGCAACGCCGCGUGAGUGAUGAAGGUCUUCGGAUCGUAAAACUCUGUUAUUAGGGAAGAACAAAUGUGUAAGUAACGAUGCACGUCUUGACGGUACCUAAUCAGAAAGCCACGGCUAACUACGU